rnacentral:rRNA from 1 species
UGGUGGAGUGAUUUGUCUGGUUAAUUCCGUUAACGAACGAGACCUCGUCUUUAACUAGUCGACCAGAGCUUUACGUUCUGCGUAAACUUCUUAAAGGGACUAUCGGUUCUUAGCCGAUGGAAGCUCGAGGCAAUAACA